AUUGAACGCUGGCGGCAGGCCUAACACAUGCAAGUCGAACGAGUGGCGGACGGGUGAGUAAUGUCUGGGAAACUGCCUGCUGGAGGGGGAUAACUACUGGAAACGGUAGCUAAUACCGCAUACCAUCAGAUGUGCCCAGAUGGGAGUAGCUUGUUGGUGGGGUAACGGCUCACCAAGGCGACGAGCCCUAGCUGGUCUGAGAGGAUGACCAGCCAAUCUUGAAAGAAGACACUGACCAGACUCCUACGGGAGGCAGCAUUGGGGAACAUUGCACAAUGGGCGCAAGCCUGAUGCAGCCAUGCCGCGUGUAUGAAGAAGGCCUUCGGGUUGUAAAGUACUUUCAGCGUGGAGGCGGUACCCGCAGAAGAAGCACCGGCUAACUCCGUGCCAGCAGCCGCGGUAAUAC
rnacentral:rRNA from 1 species